GACGAACGCUGGCGGCGUGCUUAACACAUGCAAGUCGAACGGUGAAGCGCCUUCCUUUUUGGUGGGUGUGGAUGAGUGGCGAACGGGUGAGUAACACGUGAGUAACCUGCCCCCUUCUUCUGGAUAACCGCAUGAAAGUGAGGCUAAUACGGGAUAUUCUGGGUCUGUCGCAUGAUGGGUCUGGGAAAGAUAUUGUUUCGGUGGGGGAUGGGCUCGCGGCCUAUCAGCUUGUUGGUGGGGUGAUGGCCUACCAAGGCGGUGACGGGUAGCCGGCCUGAGAGGGUGGACGGUCACACUGGGACUGAGACACGGCCCAGACUCCUACGGGAGGCAGCAGUGGGGAAUAUUGCACAAUGGGCGCAAGCCUGAUGCAGCGACGCCGCGUGAGGGAUGGAGGCCUUCGGGUUGUGAACCUCUUUCGCCAGUGAAGCAGGCCUGCCUCGUUUGUGGGUGGGUUGACGGUAGCUGGAUAAGAAGCGCCGGCUAACUACGUG
rnacentral:rRNA from 1 species